ensembl:misc_RNA
GACGCUGGUGGUGGCACUCCUGGUCUCCGGGAUGGGGUUCGACUCCCCGCGGCGUC